GACGGAGGGGGCUAGCGUUGUUCGGAAUUACUGGGCGUAAAGAGCGCGUAGGUGGUAUAACAAGUUGGGAGUGAAAGCCCGGGGCUUAACCUCGGAAUUGCUUUCAAAACUGUUAAACUAGAGUGUAGUAGGGGAUGAUGGAAUUCCUAGUGUAGAGGUGAAAUUCUUAGAGAUUAGGAGGAACACCGGUGGCGAAAGCGGUCAUCUGGGCUACAACUGACACUGAGGCGCGAAAAGCGUGGGG
rnacentral:rRNA from 1 species